UUUAAAAGGGGGAAGAUUCAAAACUUCACUUAAGUUUUAGGUUUUAUGCUAAACAUACUUUAAUUAGUGCCAUUGAAUCCCACUUCUAGACAAAUAAAAUGGUUUGCCUUCUUCCUAGGGUUGAGAGAGCAUGAGUGGCCCAAAGUCAUCCAGCUAGCUUCCGUGCCAAUGGCAGGAGUAAAACUUUGCUUACAUUCUACUAGCCUAGCACAUUAAUUACUAGACCAAAACUGGCUCUUUUGCUUUCUUACUUUGGAUAUAAACUAAAGUGCAUUCAGUGGAAUGUGGAACUUGUUUAGAGCUACAACCUUUCUUUAUAGAUAAAGAAAGCAAAACAAUU